rnacentral:rRNA from 1 species
CAGCAGCCUCGGUAAUACGUAGGGUGCGAGCGUUAAUCGGAAUUACUGGGCGUAAAGCGUGCGCAGGCGGUUCGUUAAGACAGAUGUGAAAUCCCCGGGCUUAACCUGGGAACUGCAUUUGUGACUGGCGAGCUAGAGUAUGGCAGAGGGGGGUAGAAUUCCACGUGUAGCAGUGAAAUGCGUAGAGAUGUGGAGGAAUACCGAUGGCGAAGGCAGCCCCCUGGGCCAAUACUGACGCUCAUGCACGAAAGCGUGGGGAGCAAACAGGAUUAGAUACCCCAGUAGUCCCUGUCUCUUAUAC